UAGAUGUGGGUCACAUUCCACGUGAUCCGUGUCGCAGCUAACGCAUUAAGCGCCCCGCCUGGGGAGUACGGCCGCAAGGCUAAAACUCAAAGGAAUUGACGGGGGCCCGCACAAGCGGCGGAGCAUGCGGAUUAAUUCGAUGCAACGCGAAGAACCUUACCAAGGCUUGACAUAUAGUGGAAAACUGCAGAAAUGCAGUCCCCCGCAAGGGUCGCUAUACAGGUGGUGCAUGGUUGUCGUCAGCUCGUGUCGUGAGAUGUUGGGUUAAGUCCCGCAACGAGCGCAACCCUCGUCCUAUGUUGCCAGCACGUAAUGGUGGGAACUCAUGGGAGACUGCCGGGGUCAACUCGGAGGAAGGUGGGGAUGACGUCAAAUCAUCAUGCCCCUUAUGUCUUGGGCUUCACGCAUGCUACAAUGGCCGGUACAAAGGGCUGCAAUACCGCAAGGUGGAGCGAAUCCCAAAAAGCCGGUCUCAGUUCGGAUUGGGGUCUGCAACUCGACCCCAUGAAGUCGGAGUCGCUAGUAAUCGCAGAUCAGCAACGCUGCGGUGAAUACGUUCCCGGGCCUUGUACACACCGCCCGUCAAGUCACGAAAGUCGGUAACACCCGAAGCCGGUGGCCUAACCGUAAGGAA
rnacentral:rRNA from 1 species